ACCUCCAUCCUGCACUGCAGCUCAGCAGGGCACGGGCAGUUCCCUUCCUUCAGUCCUGGAUACAUCAGAAGGUGAUGAAGAAAGAGUUUUUCCAGUGAAAUACAAAUGAACAAGCUCCUACUGCUCUGAACAGCAACAAGGUGACUGGUUGCUAGCCUGUAAAAUCUGGUGUUGUCCCUCCUGGAGUCAGAGUUUGACCUUAAGAAAAUUCCUGCCAGUUUCUCCGAGGGAACAUGUCCCUGUGCUGCUGCAGAAGCCUGUUUGCCACAGGGAGACAGGCAGAACAACGUGCUCAGGAGGAGAUCUCUGGAUCACGAAGAUGUCACCCGAGGAGCAGGUUGCCACCAGUUUCUGCUCAGCACCCAUUUUCACUGCACGGUGACAAUAACGCGGAGCAGCAGGAGCGAGGACUGGCUGCCCUGGGCUUGUCUACAGGCUGGGAAACACAUGCUGCUGUGCUCCAAGCUGGAGAAAGGAACAGAGAGGACUUCCAAAAACAUCACCUGAGCAGGGAUGGAGGGACAGAUGGACACACAGCUCUGCCUCACCUUUCUGCAGCCACCUUCUGAAAAAAAAGUGUGGAAAGAAGAGCCAAAAACCACCCUUUCCACUCUGAGGGACACUGACCAGCAAAUGGAAGGAGGGAUGAGCAGCACCAUGUGGGAAAGGAUGUCAGAAGACUGGCCAAAACCAGCCAAAGCCCCAACCUGUUUGUGGUUUCACCCUGGUUAAUACAGGAUGAUGCCUUGUUCCUGUAGCCACAGCCAAGGGAGCACAGAGAUAAGAGCAGGGCUUGAGAACGGAUCCGAAGAGCCAUAAAAAUCACAAGCACAGAAGAGAGAAAAUCUCCAUUAGAGCAUAAUUACAACUCAGUUGCUGCCCAGGGGCUUUGCAGCCCGAGUCGCUGGAGAUGGCCCUGCUCUCUCCUGGGAGCUCCCUGGAUCUGCUGGAGCUUUGAAGCAAGAGUGAAGGAGUCUGAGCCAACUGCUCGACACGGAAGCAGAGAUAAUUCCCUGGAUGAGGGUGAUGAGAGGAGUUUCAGCCCAACAAGGGAUUUCUGGGGAGCCUGCCUGGGGAAGGAAGCACAGAGCAGGCAGUUCCCGACCCAGCAUCCUUCGGUCCAGCUCUGCUCGCUCAGCAGGAGAUCCUUCUUAGACCCUUCUGGAAAGACACCGAUACCAGGGGCUCCGUGGUGAGGACCUGUCAGGUGUGUGGGUGAG